rnacentral:lncRNA from 1 species
UCUCAAUACUUGGGGCAUGUCCUUUGGCUGAGCCUCUUCAAAUUUUUGACUGAACUCGUCAUUCAUGGAGGCCCGCAUUAUGCAACAAACUGUGGUGCGGUCAUUAAGCCACUUCAAAUAAGUAUCUCAGAUCGUGCCACGGGCGUUGGGAGCAGGCUCCUCAGGCACUGGAUCUGUAAUCAAAUACAGGAUCUGCUUAUACUCCAGGAUGAUCUUAAGUUUUCGAUAUCAGUUAUCGAAAUUUGAUCUGAUCAACUUCUCACUAUCAACA